GACGAACCGUGCGAACGUUGUUCGGAAUCACUGGGCUUAAAGGGCGCGUAGGCGGGUGUGCAAGUCUGUGGUGAAAGCCUCCAGCUUAACUGGAGAAGUGCCAUGGAUACUGCACAUCUUGAGGAGGGUAGGGGCAUCUGGAACGGUCGGUGGAGCGGUGAAAUGCGCAGAUAUCAGGAAGAACACCCGUGGCUAAGGCGGUUCUCUAGUACGGUACUGACGCUGAGACGCGAAAGCGUGGGGAGCGAACAGG
rnacentral:rRNA from 1 species